rnacentral:rRNA from 1 species
CACGUAGGGGGCGAGCGUUGUCCGGAUUUACUGGGCGUAAAGAGCGCGCAGGCGGUCGAUCAAGUCGAGUGUGAAAGCCCCCGGCUCAACUGGGGAGGGUCAUUCGAUACUGAUCGACUCGAAGGCAGGAGAGGGUAGUGGAAUUCCCGGUGUAGUGGUGAAAUGCGUAGAUAUCGGGAGGAACACCAGUGGCGAAGGCGACUACCUGGCCCGUUCUUGACGCUGAGGCGCGAAAGCUAGGGGAGCAAACGGG